rnacentral:rRNA from 1 species
GUCUAUGGCCAUGCCGCCCUGAACAAGCCCGAUCCCGUCUGAUCUCGGAAGCUAAGCAGGGGCCGGCCUGGUUAGUACUUGGAUGGGAGACCACCUAAGAAGACCAGGUGCUGUAGGCG